UCCUUCGUCUCCCCCCGAUUCGGCCGAGCACCCCGAGCCGCCGCCGCCCGCCGCCUCCUCUGCUCGCGCCGGCGAGGACUCGUGCCGGGCAACGAGCGACAGCACUUCCUUCAUCGGGUGCCCACGGCGCGCCAUUCAACCAACCAUCUCGGCCCAACCCAUUGAGACUUCACCAUCAUCGUCUUCCGCGGGAGAAGCUACCCUGCCUGCAGCGGGGAAAGACGAAGAUAAAUCUUCAGACGCAGAAUGGCAGAUCACUGCACAAUUUCUGCUGCCACUGUAGCUGCAUCCGAGCAGGGGUCGUAUGUGCUCAAGAUUGACGGCUACUCCAGAGCCAAGGAGCUAUUCGAGACCCGAGAGUACGUGGCUUCCGCGCCUUUCAGUUUCGGAGGCCACACUUGGGUUAUGGAAUACUACCCAAACGGCUUUGCAGAUGCAGAAUACAUCAGUGUUGCCCUGGUUCUGGAUUCUGCUGAUGCCCAUGACGUGAAGGUGAGCAUGGAGUUUAGUCUGCUUGACAAGGACGGAGCACAUGCAACUACCGGCACACGGCUUUACCACCCCUGUGUAUACCUACUCAAGCAAAUGUUGUUCUCAUGACUGGUACGAAGAUUUCAUCAGGAAGGCAGAUUUAGAGGGAUCGGUUUAUUUAUGUGGCGAUAGUUUCAGCAUGAGGUGUGAUAUCGCCAUGGAAAAGAAGGACAUCCACAAAGGUAAACAGUUUAUGGUGGUUCCUCCAAGCAACUUGCAUCGGCAUCUCGACGACCUCCUCAAGAGCAUGGACGGAGCAGACGUGGUCUUUCAUGUCGGCGGGGAGAGGUUGUCGGCAUUGUUCAAGAAUCGGCCGAGUAGCCGAUUAAAUGGCCAGUUAAUCGCUACUCGGCAAGUGCAUUAGCUGGUAAGGCCGAUUAAAUGGCAGUUAAUCGGUUGUCAGACCGAUCAAUCGCUGUCAGGCUGAUUAAAUGCCUAUAUUUUUUGGUAUAAA